rnacentral:rRNA from 1 species
GACGAACGCUGGCGGCGUGCUUAACACAUGCGAGUCGAACGGAAAGGCCCUGCUUUUGUGGGGUGCUCGAGUGGCGAACGGGUGAGUAACACGUGAGUAACCUGCCCUUGACUUUGGGAUAACUUCAGGAAACUGGGGCUAAUACCGGAUAGGAGCUCCUGCUGCAUGGUGGGGGUUGGAAAGUUUCGGCGGUUGGGGAUGGACUCGCGGCUUAUCAGCUUGUUGGUGGGGUAGCGGCUUACCAAGGCUUUGACGGGUAGCCGGCCUGAGAGGGUGACCGGCCACAUUGGGACUGAGAUACGGCCCAGACUCCUACGGGAGGCAGCAGUGGGGAAUAUUGCACAAUGGGCGGAAGCCUGAUGCAGCAACGCCGCGUGCGGGAUGACGGCCUUCGGGUUGUAAACCGCUUUCGCCUGUGACGAAGCGUGAGUGACGGUAAUGGGUAAAGAAGCACCGGCUAACUACGUG